GACGAACGCUGGCGGCGUGCUUAACACAUGCAAGUCGAACGGUGAAGCGCCUUCCUUUUUGGUGGGUGUGGAGGAGUGGCGAACGGGUGAGUAACGCGUGCGUAACCUGCCCCCUUCUUCUAGAUAACCGCAUGGAAGUGUGGAUAAUACGGGAUCUUCUGGUUCUUUCGCAUGAUUGGUCUGGUACGGCUAUUGUUUCGGUGCGGGAUGGUCUCCCGGCCUAUCAGCUUGUUGGUGGGGUGAUGGCCUACCAAGGCGGUGACGGGUAGCCGGCCUGGGAGGGUGGACGGCCAGACAGGGACAGAGACACGGCUCAGACUCCGACGGGAGGCAGAAGGGGGGAGUAGUGAACAGUGGGGGGAAGCCUGAUGCAGCGACGCGGCGGGAGGGAUGGAGGCCUGCGCGUUAUGAACCUCUUUCGCUAGUGAAGCAGGCUUGCCUGGUUUGUGGGGGGGUUGACGGUAGCUGGAUAAGAAGCGCCGGCUAACUACGUG
rnacentral:rRNA from 1 species